UCACAGGCGCGGGCUUCCUGUGCGCGGCCGAGCGGGGCGCAGCGCCGGGGCCACCUCGGGGCGCCUGCAGCCUCCGCAGGGAGGAGACGGAGCGCCCAACAAAGGGAGCGCGGGAAGGACGGAAGGAAGGAAGGAAGCCGCUCCUGGCCCGGCAGAUAUAUGGGGCCCUGUACUCUGAUGACGCAAUGGCGAAGGCACUGGACUGCUAACUGAAAGGUGAUGCGAACCAGGAAGGGGAAAUCCGUGGUUUAAAUUCUUUAUGCCUCAUCCCCUGAAUGCUGGAGGCUGCCUGUAGGCUGUAGGCUGUUAAUGCUAAUCGUGAUAGGGGUUUUUACCUCAAGCAACUCCUACAUGUUAGCAUUAACAGCGUAUGAUGCCUGUUACUAGCGCUCACAUGGAACAAAUGGCUGCGUGGGAGGAAGACCAAGAAGCAUGAGUCACUCUGCUGGGUAAACUUAGACUUCGGCUCUAUUACUUCUUUGUAAUCUGUUAAUCAUAAUCUGGUCACUGGGAUGUACCACUUUAAAUUCAGUUUUAAGGUUAACGUCAUUUAAAAGAUCUGUCUGCAGUAGUCUGUAUUUACUUUAAUCUUCAAGCCCACAUGUUUGUUUUUAUCUUUACUAGAAAAUGUAUUUGUGUCAUUUUUAGUUCAAAGUUAAGGUUUGUUCAUGCACACUCUUAAUGACUCAACUGAGAGAAACAUAGGCUAAAUGAACACAUUCUAAAGCAAAUGUAUACCAUAUCAUUGUAGCUAAAAAUUUAGAAAGACCACCCUUUCCCAGGAGCCCUGGUGUGCAGUGGUUAAUCGCUCGGCAACUAACCAGAAGAUGGGCAGUUCAAAUCUGCCAGCCGCUCCUUGGAAACCCUAUGAGGCAGUUCUAUUCUACCCUAUAGGGUCGCUGUGAGUCGGAAUUGACUUGAUGGCAAUGGGUUUUUUGGAGCCCUGGUGGUACAUGGUUAAGAACUUGGCUGCUAACCAAAAGAUCGGCAGUUCGAAUCCACCAUCCGCUCCUUGGAAACCCUAUGGGGCAGUUCUACUGUGUCCUGUAGGGUCUCCGUGAGUCAGAAUCGACUCAACAGAAACAGGUUUUACCAUUCUCCAGUUAUAGAUCGUGGAUUGUCUGGCAACAUUUUAAAACAGACUUAGAAAUUGGUAUUUUCCUCUGUGUAACAAUUUUCUAUUUGGAGAUUUUCAGUUUCAAAAGUAAUAUUUUUAUUUCAAUCUUAAAGAGGAAUUAAAAGGCUUUGGCACUGAAUUUGUUUUAAAAAAAAAAAAGAUUAUUCAACAAUAAACAUGGUAAAUGAUGUCUAAAACAGCUGCCUGUCUUUCCCCAUAAAAUACAAAGAUUUAAUAAAAGGAGCAUAUUUGAAAGUACGUUCCAAAUCUAGGUUCAAGUUCAAUAGCUCAGCCACUUAACAAUGGCAUGGGGUAAAAGAAUUCACUUUUCCUCUCUAGCCUGUUUCUUAGUCCAUAGAAUGGGGAUCCCUUACAGGGUUAGUGUAAGGCUUACAUGAGAUGGGUAAUUACUUUGUAAAAUACAAAAUGCUACAAAAGAUGUAGUAAAAUUAAUCUGAGAACUAGUCCCCACGGUUUGUUAGAAAAAAAACUAGUGAUUCAAUUUAAUUAAAAAUUUUAAUAUUUGGAUUUUUGUACAAGCUUUCUCCAUAAUUAUAUCACUUACAAAUAUCCAGCCAAUUGUAAUUAAGUUAGCAUAACCCCCAAAAAAUGUAAUAUAUAUUUGUAGCAGCAGUUCUUCUUAGCAGUUAUUUUGCCGAACAGUUAUUCACCGUAACCAGAUACAUCUCUGGAGUUGCUUUUAGUUGACUUGAAAUAACUUCUUUUUUUGUUUUGGCCUUUUUUCUUUUGCAAAGUACAAAUUGUAAUUUCAGAAGAUAUUGCCACAGAAAAGGACAAUGGGAAAAAAAGGGAAUAUUUCUGACUUCUAGGAGAGAGUGUUCUCAGCUAAGGGCACCCCCUGGGCCUUGCUCCCCUUUCUGUUCAAGUUGUCUGUGCUGCCAAGAUAAAUUUCUCCUCUUACCCUUGAGAUGAAUGUGUGGCUCCAUGGAGCCCCCAUGUAGCUAAUGUCACCCUCAAGAGUGUUCUUUGGGACUACAGGGAGAAUUUACAAGAGGAAUCCAUGUUUUGAGUCCCAAUUCUUCAAAACCCCGUUUGCUGCUUAGAGCUACCAAGUCAUAGAACGUUAGGAUUGUGGAAAAGACUAAUCUAGCGUUCCCUUCCUGCUCUUCAAAUGAACAGCUGUGGGCAUCAAAAUGGUACUUUAAGAAAGCUGUGCUCUGAAAUGCCUGAUUUGUAGAGCACUACAUGGUCUUAGGGGUCCCUGGGUGGCGCAAAUGGCUAACAUGCUCAGCUGCUAACCGGUUGGUUGGAAGUUUGAGUCCACCCAGAAGCACCUCGGAAGAAAGACCUGGCAGUCUGUUUCUGAAAGAUCAGCCAUUAAAAACCCUAUGGAGCACAGUUCUAUCUGACACACAUGGGGUUGCCAUGAAUCAGAGUUGACUCCACAGCAAUCGGUUGGUGUUUUUUUGUUGGUUUGUUUUUAUAUGACCUUAGGCAAAUUACCUCUCUUUAAACCUCAGUUUCCUUUUCAGUGAAAUGGUAAUAGUAGUAAAUUUAAAGUAAAGCUUAAAUGAGUUAAUGCGUGUUAAGCAUUAGCACAAUGUCUGUUAAGCAUUAUGUUAAAUAAACACCAGCUUUAAAACUUUUAAAUCUUGCCAAAUUGACAAGAGUAACUCUCAAGCAUAGAUGAGAAGUUUAGGGGCAGUAAGUCUAAGUUAAUGGUGGUGAAACAAUAUGGGUACAGACGGUGAGAAUACAAAGAAUGUAACCUAUAUCAUUGAACUGUACAAUUUGUGGAAUGCGUGUAUGUUUUGUUGUGUAUUUUUUCACUAAAAAUAAAAUUUUUCUACUAGCCACAGUUAAAAACGUAAACAGAUGAAAUUUAAAAAACAAAAAAUUUUUAAAUCUCAAGUCAUCUAAAUCAAAUGAUCUACCCCAGUAGGUCUCUCCAAGCAUGCUUUAGCUCCGAUCAAGCCACAACUCCAUGAAGACAAUCUAGAGAACCUAGAUACCUCUAGGGUUGCUGGGGUUUUUUCUGCUGCCCGACAUUCUGAAGCUUCUAGUUCCUGAUCUCCUGGUAUUAGAUGGAUUCCUUCUGACUAACAUACCCAGUCAUUCCAAAAUUUCACAAAGUAUGAGUGAGACUAGAUGCGUGUGCUUGGGUUGGGGAAAUGUUUAAGUAUCAAGGAAAUGGGUGUGAUUUUGUUUUAAAUAAAUAGCUAGGGGUGGUAGAACUGACUGUGGGCUCUGUGGGGGGCGGAGAAGGUAACAGGAAUCCAGUUUUGUACCUAGCUGACUGAAUUAAAUCAAAUACUAAAUUAUACAGGGCAAGGUUGCUUUAAACAGGAGGAGAAUGGCAAGAGGGUUGUCUAGCAUCUGACCCACUUCCCCAGAAAUUGGCUGAAUUAGAGCCCAGACCUCGUCUAUUCACUGUCAGCAGUUAGAUGAAUCCAGUAACUAAAAACAUAGAGGAAAAAGAGACUAGAAGAAAGAAUAAGAGGGAAAAAAGUGAAGUCAGGGGAUUGGAGAAAACAGAAUAUUAGAAAUUUUCUGAAUAUAGAAGACACCCAGUACCUCAAAGAAAGUGGGGGAACUUGAAUAGAGAAAAGGAGCUUGAAGAAAAAUAACAGAGUCCAUAAAUGGGAAACAUUUGAAAAUAACUAGUGUGGGGGCCCCCAUUAAGAAGGACUGGGCAACAGUGGAACCAAGAGCUAACACUGGUACAUAAGAGUUCAACUCUCUGCUUUGGCUUCCAAAUUCUCCUGUAGUAGUAAGGAUAAGGAAAUAAUUGUUCUUAUAAAGGGUUUUUUAUUGUUAUUUUUCCUGUUACUGUAGUGUUUGAACAAAUCAAGGUGUUCCAGAAUUAGUACUCACCUGGCUAAGUAUACAUCUAACUGGAUUUUUUCUAGGUAGAUUCCUGAAGUGUCAUUUCAGUGGUAUCUUUUCUAUCUUCAGUCAUUCUUCCAUCCUUCUCUGCAAUGCUCAGGGAUUUCCCAGUUCACUAGCCCUGAAGUCACUCUAUCAUAAGUAUUUGUGUUGGCAUGUGAAUGACCGCUUUAGAGGCAGUGAUGCCCUUGAGGGCUGAACCACCGUCUCUCCUGGUCAUAGCCCACUUCAGUAUAUACUGACUUGAUCACAUCAUCGUUAUUCCAAGUCCAAUUCUAAAAACAGAAAUGAGCUUAAUAUACAGUGGGUAUUUCACUCUACUAUACACAUUGGCUCAAAAGGGUGAUUUUUGGUAAAUAAAAGUUCAAUGGUUAAGAGCUACAGCUGCUAACCAAAAGGACAGCAAUUCGAAUCCACCAGCCACUCCUUGGAAACUGUUUGGGGCAGUUCUGCUCUGUUCUGUAGGGUCGCUAUGAGUUGUCAUUGACUCGAUGGCAACAGGUUUGUUUUUUAUGGAUUCUAGCAAACAAGUGACUGAGAAGUUCUACAUAUAACUGAUAAGACAGGAAGUGAUUCCCACCUAGAAAGCUUGUCAAGGUGCAGGUUCCCAGGCUGCAUCCCAAGAAAUGAUUCUGUCAUGGAGCUGAGGAAUCUACAUUUUCACAAGCUAACCAGGUGGUGCAGGUGGUUCAUAAACCAACUCUCAGAAACAGUGGUUUAUACACAGGUUACUGUCUAUGUGGUAACUAGGAAUGGUGCUCAGCAGAAAUUCUGCAACAUACAAAUCUCAUGUCUGUUUACACGCUCCAUUGUAUGUAACGACUCUGCAACGUGGGCUGAUAAAUGCCCUAUGCUAUUCUUGACCUCUGUGGGGAUAAGAAGCAAUUGUAUUUCAAGUCUCAUCAUCUUUCCCUGCCAAAAACACCCUAACCUUCUCAAUAAUACCCCACUGAAACCAGCUGCCCUGUGUUCUACCACCAGCUGCAACCAGCUGAUGACCUUGUAUGAUCUAGCCCCAUGCCAUCAGCUGCUGCUUAGAGCAGCAGUAAGGGAAAGUCAGUGAGAAGGGAGUGGGGACAGGGUCCUGCCUUGUAAAUCAGUUGAUUAAUGGAACCAUCGAAAAGUGUGGUGCCAUCCUAUCACAGCCUCCCACCCUCGUGCUGCUGGGGCUUCAAAAGUCAUUAGAGCCAGUUUACACUUAUGAGAAUCCUACCUGCUGAGCUAAGGUCCAGAGUCGCCAAAAAAGACACAAGUUACACAUGGGCAUCGGAUGGAACAAUCUUAUAUACAGAAGAGCAAGGUUAGCUUUAAUAGUGGGCCAGCAGGUCACUCUCCGCAGCCGAUGCAGGGCUGGUGGUCUGCACACACCCUUCAUGUUGCAUUUGGGAAACACUGUUCCCUCCCCACUGGGAAUAGAUACAGUAAUGAGGUUGGCCAGGUGCCUUAUGACACCGCACACAUAAGCAGAACAAAGAGGUAUUCAUUAAGCUCAAAAACAGAGAAGGAGUCUCCCUGAUAAGAAGAAACCAGGACUGAAGGAGGCUCAGUUCCCAGCCUCUGUUAUCAGGGAAUGUUCCAGGCUCAAGGCUUCUAAUUUGGCAGCCCAGAUGACAAUGGCAAGACCAUAGGCAGACCAUCAUCCCAAAACUACCCUUUCCCAGAUGCCGGCAGCUCAGCAGCAGACCCUUAGCCCCUGCCUAACACAUAGUACAAGACCUUCAAAAAGGGGUGUACCCGAAAGUGAUCACUCUCCUCUGUCUUCCCAAAGUACAGUUUAAUAAGUAAAGUGCUUCAUUCUAUUCCCCCACCUUUGUGAUUUGUGUACACAUCAUCCUCUUCUAGAGUAGCAGCUCCUGUAGGAAAGGAAUAUUAUUUUAAGCUUUUCUGUAUUCUACCCAGCUUAGGGCCUUUGUCAGAGUUGCUUAAACUGAAUGGGAAAAUAUAUCCAAUUCUCCACUGCCUUUGGAAACACAACUUGUUCUGAAGUUGCUGACUGCCUGUACUUGGCAUAUGUGUGUCCCAAUUUCAGGUCGACUUGAAUGGAUUCAUUACUCAGCUCAAGGAUCAAGAAUAUCCAACUUCAAGAACUCUUAGAAAUAACAUCACAGUAGCAGCCUCCCCGAAACUAAAUAUUUUCCCUUUCCUUCAAUAGCCCCGGUGGUACAAUGGUUAAGCACUACGGCAAGCUACAGCUGCUAACCAAAAGGCCAGCAGUUCGAAUCCACCAGCCACUCCUUGGAAACCCUAUGGGGCAGUUCUACUCUGCCCUGUAGGGUUGCUAUAAGUUGGAAUUGACUCCAUGGCAAUGGGUUUGUUUUUCGUGUCUUUUUUUUUCCUUCAAUAUAUUUAACCAUGUAUGGAAUCUAAAAUCUGCUUAAUAUAUAAACUUAUCUUAACACUUAUGUUACCUUUAUUUAACAAAACUUAAAAGAUACAUUCUUCUGAUCUAUAGGACCACCUCUAAGAAUUUAUAUUACGGAUCUCCUUGUACAUGUGUGGACUCAUGUAUGUACAAGGUCAUUCAUUGAAGUGUUAUUUAUAAUAGCAAAAAUUAGAAAUUAACCAUCAAUAGGGGACUGAUGCACUACAUUAUGGCACACACAUAAAUGGAAUACUAUGUACUGAAAAAAUAGAAACAAUGUGUAACUUCUAAAACAAAGUGGGAAGGAAGGGCGAAAAAAUUGGAUCAAUCCAAUAUAUGGCAGGAAAGGAAAAAAAACGGAAGGAGAAAAACCAAGUAAGAUGGUAAAAGUACAUCAGUAAUCACAGUAAAAUAUAAAUGAAUUAAAAUGUAUCUCUUAAUUAAAAGAUAGUGAUUCCACAACUGGAUUAAAAAAAAAAAGCUAGCUUUAUACUCUUUUCAAAAGACAAAACGUAAUGACAUUAAGGGGUUGAAAGGGGAUAGAAAAACGUACUAGGCAAAUACUAACAAAAAUCUAGUGUAACAGUAUUAAUAUAACUAAAGAAAAAACUGAUUAUGGAAACCAGAUUGAGGAGGGUAUAACAUUAUUAAGAAUAGAAAGGGUUAUCACUUAAUGAUAAAAAGAAACAAUUUACCAGUAAGUUAUAAAAGAAAAUCUAAAACUGUACAGUGCUAGCAAAAGAGCCUCAAAAUAUAAUAAUUAAACAUUGAUUUAAUUAUCUGGAGGAAUGUCAAAUCCAGAAUCAUUGUAGAAGAAUGAGUUUAAGAAAAAGCUUUCUUUAUUGUCCCUUUUAAGAGAAAACAUAAAGACAUAAUGAUGUUUACAAGGAAUGGAAAAAUAUUUAUUUACCUCUGACCUAAAGAAAUGAUGUAGAAAUAACAGCACCAGACAAAACAGAUUUUAAGAUACUUGCUUGGAAGUUGAGAAGCUGAGCCUGCAAUAACCGUGACGAUUUUGAGUUAAGGAAGGACUCAUAUCAUACCAGAAAUCAAAAUGUAUUAUAAAGCUGUCAGAAUUAAAGCCCAGGUAAGUGGUGUUAAAAAAAAAAAAAAAAAUUUUUUUUUAAAGUGGUGGUGUAGGGGGAGACAAAUGGACCAAUGAAGCAGACCCAGGCAUUUAAAGCAGGGCUUCUAUCUAGUUCACUAUUCUAUCUAGUGAUUUACGCUCCCCACCCCUCCCCUCCUUUGUAACACUCAAAGAUUGUUUUUUUCUGUGUGUAAACCCGUUCUUGGGUUUUUAUAAUGAUGGUCUCAAACAAUGUUCGUCCCUUUGCCACUGACUUAUUUCACUCAGCAUAAUGCCCUGCAGAUGUCAUCCAUGUUGUAGAUGUUUCUCAGAUUCACCAUUGUGAUUUACCAUUGCGUGUAUGUACCAUAAUUUAUCCGUUCAUCUGGUUCGUUCCACUUAAACCCUCUGCUGAGCAAUUUGCAUUUCUAACAAGUUCCCAGGGGAUGCUAAUGAUUCUACCCUAAAAAAAAACCCUAGAUAUCUUAAAAAAAAAAAUGCCUUCACGUGGAUUCUGACUCAUAGCAACCCUAUAGGACAGAGUAGAACUGCCCCAUAGAGCUUUCAAGGAGUAGCUGGUGGAUUCGAACUGCCAACGUUUUGGUUAAGCAGCCGAGCUCUUAACUACUAUGCCACCAGGGCUCCCCCCAGAUAUAGGAUCAAAAUCUACAUGUAGGAAUCACCUGAUGAUCUUGUUAAACUGUAGAUUUUUUAAUUGUAAAAGGUAAAAAUUUACAGCACAUCUUCAUUCAAAAAUUUAUACACAAAUUGUUUUGUGACAUUAGUUGCAAUCACCUAAAUGUGUCAGCACUCUCCCCCUUUCCUUUUCCAUUCUGGGUUCCCCAUGUCCAUUCAUCCAGUUUUCCUGUCCCUUCCUGCCUUCUCGUCUUUGCUUUCAGACAGGUGUUGCCCAUUUGGUCUCAUAUACUUGAUUGAUCUAAGAAGCACACUCCUCAUGUGUGUUCCUGUUUUAUAGACCAUCUAAUCUUUGGCUGAAAGGUCAACUUCAGGAGUGGCUUCAGUUCUGAGUUAGCAGCCGAGCUCUUUAACUACUGGGGGGGCCACAGUAUUGGGGGUUCCCCCAGUCUCUUUCAGGCCGGUAAGUCUAGUCUUUUUUGUGAAUUUAAAUUUUCUACGUUUUUCUUCUGCUCCACACAAGACCCUCUAUUGUGAUCCCUGUCAGAGUGGUCAGUGAUGGUAGCUGGGCACCAUCUAGUUCUGGGCUCAGCCUGGUGGAGGCUGUGGUUGACGUGGCCCAUUGGUCCUUUGGGCUAAUAUUUUCCUCAUGUCUUUGGUUUUCUUCAUUCUCCUUUACUCCAAACGUGAUAGGACCAAUAGACGUAUCUUAGAUGGCUGCUCACAAGCUUUUAAGACUCCAGACGCUACUCACCAACUGUUAUGCCAACUGACCUAGAUGUCCCCUAAGACCAUGGUCCCAGCCCUCGGCCCCAGUAACUCGGUCCCUCAAGGUGUUUGGAUGUGUCUAGAAAGCUUUUAUGGCUUUGCCUUGGUCAAGAUGUGCUGCCUUCCCCUAUAUUGUGUGUUGUCUUUCCCUUCAGCAAAGUUACCACUUGUCUAUUAUCUAGUUAGUGAUUUCCCCUCUCCACUCCUCCCCACCCUCUUAACCAUUAAAGAUUUUUUUUUCUGUGCAUCAAUCUUUUCUUGGGUUUUUUUAACGGUGGUCUCAUACAGUAUUUGUUCUUUUGUGAUUUAACUUAUUUCACUCAGCAUACUGCCCUCCAGAUUUAUCCACGUUGUGAGAUGUGUCAUGGAUUCUUCAUUGUUCUUUAUCGUUGCAUAGUGUUCCAUUGUGUGUAUGUACCAUAAUUUGUUAUCCAUUCAUCUGUUGAUGGGCACAUAGGCUUUCAUUUUUUUGCUAUUCUGAAUAAUGCUGUAGUAAAUAUGGGAGCGCAUAUGUCUACUCAUGGGAUGGCUUUUAUUUCUUGCUAGGAUAUAUUCCUAGGAGUGGGAUUACUGGGUCACAUGGUAUUUCUAUUUCUAGCUUUUUAAGGAGGGACCAUAUCAUUUUCCAUAUUGGCUGUACCAUUUUACAUUCACACUAGCAGUGCACAAGUGUUCCAAUCUCCUCGAAACCUCUCCAAUAUUUGUUAUUUUGUUUUUUUUUUUUUUUAUUUGUGCCAGUAAUGUCAGGGUGAUAUGGUAUCUCAUAGCUUUGAUUUGCAUUUCUUUAAUGGCUAAUGAUUGUGUGAGCAUUUCCCCAUGUGUCUUUUAGCUGCCUCAAUGUCUUCUUUGGUGAAGUGUCCAUAUCCUUUGCCCAUUUUUCAAUUGGAUUAUUUUUUGUUAUUGAGGUAUUGAAGUAUUCUAUAGAUUUUAGAGAUUAGACUCAUGUCAGAUGUCGUAGCCAAAAAUUUGGUUCUUUUUAUUCUUUUGGUGAAGCCUUUUGACAAGCCUAAGUGUCAAAUUUUUAGGAGCUCCCAGUUUUCUAGUUUACCUUCUGAUGUUUGUACACUGUUAGUUAUGGUUUAUGUUCUAUUCAUGCCAUGUAUAAGGGCCCCUAACAUUGUCCCUAUUUUUUCUUCCAUGAUCUUUACCGUUUUCAGGUUUAUAUUUAGGUCUCUGAAGAAAACUGUUUUCUAAUCUAGUAUUCUGUAUCUAAAAAAACAAUCAGCCAAAAAUAAGUGCAAAACAGAGCUCACCUCUUGAACUCUUAGGAGGAACGUGAAGACAGACUCUAAUAAAAUGAGAAAGUUAAUUAAGAAACAGGAAGUUAUGGACUCUAGGAAAAAGUAGAUCCAACCCAGGAAACAAAGUCUUCAAAUGAAACUUGUGCAGCAGGCCCAGAACAUAAAAUGCUCAGAUUGGAAUGGGAAGAAGAUUUUUGGCAAAAGAUUAGAGAAAAAAGAAAAAAAAAACACCAGAUGAUGAAGGCUUGCCCAGGUGUGGAGAAAUGGGCAUUCACAGACACUGUUGCUGGGAAUGUCAUUUGGCAAAGCCUGUGGGAGGCCAGGCUGAUAGUGUCUGUCAGUAAUUCCACUAGCAGAAACCUCUUCCUACAAAAUUCCUUAUAUCUGAGGCAGCAUACAGAAGAGCAGGAACUCCAGAGUGAGAAUGCCUGGGUUCAAACUCCAGUUUUGCCAUUUGUGAGCUCUAUGAUCUCUGUUCCUCAUUUGCAAAAGGUUGUUGUAAAGAUUUAAUGAGAGGUUUCCCUAUGGAAGGCUCAGGAAACUUGGUGCAGUGGUUAAGUGUCCAGCUGCUAGCCAAAAGGUUGGCAGUUCAAACCCACCAGCCACUGUGGGAGAAAGAUGUGGCAGUCUGCUUCUGUAAAGAUUUACAGCCUCAGAAACCUUAUGGGGCAGUUCUACUCUGUCCUACAGGGUCACUAUGGGCCGGAAUUCACUCGAUGGCAGGGGGCUUGGUUUUUUGGGUUGCGGAGGGAUUAGCACAAUGCCCAGUAUAGAAUACUCAGGCUUUUGGAAGACUAUAUUUGCAUAUGUACAUAUAUGUUUAUACGUGUAGAAAAGAAGGACUGAAAAAAAAAGUAUUUGGAUAGCGGGAGAAGAGGGGUUUGUUUUUGUGUGAAAUUUUUAUUAUAAGCAAUGGAAGUUGUUUUAUCCUUUAGAGAAAGCGAAAAAGUAAAGAGCAUUAGAGAUCUUGAUAAGCACACCCAAACAUUACAUUUAAAAAAAAAAAAACUUUUAUUUUAACUGAUUAUACAUAUUUAAAUCUUAGGAGGUUUCUAGGUGGCUGCACUUUCCUCUGUGGGUUUGGUUUGAUCUUCAGUUACCUGUAAAAACGUAACAGCUUUACUUUAGAAUAAACACUUUCAGUUUCACCCUCAUCCACCAUUUUAAACAUUCCACAGUUCUUGUCUCUCUCCUUCAAUAGUAACUACUACAGAAAGUUACAUAGGAAAGAAAGCUUACAGGGCCACAUUACCAAUAUAAAUUAUAAACACAAUGAUUCCUUCCAAAAUAUAAUCUGAGGCAUAUUAUAUCUAGUCUUCUCAAGUGGGUCAUUUCAUAUUUCACCUAUAAAACAAAAUCAUUAGUUUAAAAAGAAAAAAAAAAAAAAACCCAGAAGUGCUGCAACAAGCUAUUUUAAAUCGACCUGUUUCGCUGGGAGGUAUAAUUCUAUUUUGAGUAUAGCGUAUUACAGGCUUAGUCCAAAUACCACAUGUCUGUAUUUCUACUGUAUGUCACUCAGAUGCUUCAAACAAACGGUGCUAAAACUGAAUUUCUCACUGCCCCAAAACCUGCCCCACCCCUGCAUUCUCUCAGAGGAGGGCUCUCCCAGCCCCCAGCCUGGCAUUCGAGAAUCCAUCUCCUUUCACCUGCAUAAGAUCAACAGUUAGUUCUACCUAAGAAACUCUCAGCCAUCCUCACUGCCAUGGCUGAACUUUAGGACCGUAUUAUUUUCUACGCCCUGAAAGUAAUCCUGGCUUAAUUUACAGCUCUCUUUCACACACCAGAAUGAACUUCUGAACAGAAAUAGCUGAUCGUGUCACUUUCCUGUUCAAAUUUCUUCUGUUACCUCCUGUCAUCUUUAGGGGAGGAAAAAUGCAAAUUCCACAGCAUAGAAGAUAAGCUCUUCAUAUUCUAUCUCCAACUCACGUCUCUGGACUCCCUGCCACCCUCCAUGUGACCGGUGCAUUCACAUUCUCCAUACAUUCCCCAUCUUCUCCAUUCCUCCACACACCUCAUCCAAUAGCUUCCUCUGAUGUAAUAACCCCCAGCAAGUUAUCUGCCUGGCCUAUUUUUAUUCAUCCUUUAAAACCAACUUAAAAGACACCAACACCUGCAGGCUUCCUUAACCUAACCUCCAGCUUGGUUUAGGUUUUAGGUCUUCUCUUGUUAUUCCAGAACCUCACAUGUACAUCUGAACCGCCUGCUUGUAAGGCUAGUGAUCCCAUCAAAGUAACUUCCUUCAGGGCAGCAAGUGCAUUUUGUUCAUUUCUGUACCCUCAGAACACAACAGUACCUGACACAUAAUAAACACUCAAUAACCCUGUGUUAACUGAAUCAAUGGACCAUGCAUUUAGCCUACUCCCUUUGGAUAAGUGAAAUGGACAGUGGAAGAAGACAACUCAACCAGGAUAAAUGUUUAAAAAAUGGCUGUUUACUGUCUCCACUCUUUUUCCUUAAAGUAUUCAAUUAUUGAUUGCUUCUCGUGUUUCCCAACCACUUCUUAGGUGUUCAUAUUUUCCCUUGUUUCUUAAUCUGAAAUGAUCAUUGUGAAAUCACAAAAGGACAAAUAUUGUGUGAUCUCACUUUUAUAAAAAGUCAAGAAUAGGUGUACACACAGAAGGCAACUGUUCUUUGAUGGUUAGCAGGGAUGAGAGGGAGAGGGAGCGGGAAGGGGAAUCGCUUUCUAGAUACUAUCUAGAUACUACCUUCUAGACACUUGUUAUUUUUGGUGAUGGGAAAGGCAGUACCCAAUAUGGCCCAGACAAAGGCAAAUGAAGACCCUAAGAAAUACGUAAGAAUAAGGGACAAUUUUGGUGAAUGCUAUAACAUAUAAAAUUUUGCAACAACAAUAAAAAUAACCAGAAAAUAUGAGUGGGGUUAUACAGAUAUGUAAACCCAGUGCUGUCAAGUCGAUUCCGACUCAUAGCGACCCUACAGGAUAGAGUAGAACGGCCCUAUAGAGUUUCCAAGGACCACCGGGCGGAUUUGAACUGCCGACCCUUUGGUUAGCAGCCAUAGCACUUAACCACUACGCCACCAGGGUUUCCAUACAGAUAUAUAUGUAUGCAUAUAUGUGUAUAGGAAGACAAAUGUGAGUACACGUGUGUGCAUGUAUAUGUGUAUCUGUAGGCAUAUGUAUAUAUAUGUCUGAGUGUGCCACAUAUAUAUUCAUAUAUAUAAUAAAGCACAUAGGGGGCACAGUUACGAAACCUCGAGGACAUAACCAAACACCUCGCAGGUAGGUUUACUAGGUUAAAAGCCUUAGGACCAUAGUCUCAUGGGACAACUCAGUCAACUGGCAAUAAUGCAGCUCAUAAGGAUAAUGUUCACCUCCUAGUUUGGUGAAGAGUGGAGUCUGGUAUCUUAAAAGCUUGUCAGUGACCAUCUAAGAUACAAUUAUCGGUCUCUACCUGACUGGAACAAAUGACAAUGAAGGAAACAAAGACUCAAAGAAGAAAUUAGCCCACAGGACAAACAGCCCACACGAACCACAACCUCUUCUAGCCUGAGACCAGAAAAACUAGAUGGUACUCGGCUACCACUACCACCUGUUCUGACUAGGGACACAAUAGAAGGUCCCAGAUAGAAUAAGAGAAAAAUGUAGAAUGAAAUUCAAAUUCCUAAGAAAUGCCAGAAUUACUGGAUUGACAGAGACUAAAGGAAGCCCCAAAACUACUGCCCUAAAAUACCCUUUGAAAUUGGAAUUGAAGCCACUCCUGGAGAUCACCUGUCAGCCAAAUAAUACAUUAACUUAUAAAAUAAACAGUAUCACCUUUGAGUAAUGUGCUCCCUGAAACAAUCAACUACAUAAGAUUUGGGUCAACAUUUACCCAGAAACAAAGAUGAGGUGGCAAGGAGGGGCAGGGGAGCUUGAUCAAUAGAAACAGAAUGGGAAUGAUGAGAAUGUUGACAGGUUGUGAAAAUUGUAACCAAUGUCACAGAACAAUCUGUAUAAAAAUUGUUAAAUGGGAAACUAAUAUGCUCUGUAAGCUUUCACCUAAAACACAAUAUUAUAAAUAAAUGAUCAUUGUGACCAACCAAAGAGACAAAGUUAUUCCAUCCUUUUCAAUAUGCCCUCUUCUCAUAAGAUAGGAGAGAUUACAUAACCUUCACACAGGGACAUCAGGCUGUGCUUAAUCAAUAACUUCUCUCUGUGAGUUCCCUAAUAAAGCCCAGUUUUAUAAUGAUAUCAUUAGGAAGGUAACCACCAUCACAUGCCAAAUGUGUUCAAAAUCUGGGGUCAAACAAAUAUAACAAACCCUGAAUAAAUCAGCAGACUGAACAUAAAUGUACCAGCAAAGAAAGCAAUAUGAGAAGGUAUACAAUCAAGCAAUAAAUUGUAUAAAUGGAUAGUAUUUGUUAAGAGAUUACUCUGAGAAUGAUUCCUGGAGAAGAUGGAACUGGGACAAGGUAUUGCAGAAUGAGUAGGAUGUAGAUCCACAGACAUAAUGAAGGAGCAUGGGAAGGGGAGUCCAGGCAGAACAGCCAUCAGGAAGAAGUAGGCUAACCUGAAAAUCAUUCUGAUGUGUGCUGAUUAGUGUACUUUGAAACUAGACUAGAACAUCUGCAGAGUACUGGGAAAUUAGGGUAACUAUGAAGGGCUCAUGAGGUCAGAUUGCACUGUAUAGCUAUCAGGUAACGUACCUAAAACACAAACAGUCAGCACGUGAAACGGUGAAUAGGGAUAGUUGUGGUUCAUGAAUAUAAUCCCUCCUUCUUAUGAGAAUCUAAAUACUAAUGACACAACAUAAAUAUAGAAACAUAAGCAUUCGAAAAUCUUUUUUAGGUAUUUGUAUAUUUAACUUGUCAACAGUCAAGUCAGCUGUAAAGUAUACUGGACAAAUCUUAAUCCUUUAAGAGUUCAUUAGAUUAAUAAAAAAAAUUAUUUAAAAAAAUCCUAAGUCCUCAUUAACACCAUGACAACCAUUAAGAACUUUAACUACUAUAUGGAAAUAUCUUCCUUCCCUUGAAGUUCUACAGUUUAUCAUUUCCAUGGCAUUAACAAAUAAAAUCAAAAAAGAAUUUCCAAACUACAAAUUUUCCUUCUACCAAAAUACUACUAGGGUAAACAAUCACAGCAUUGAUUUGGCUACUGAGACAAUUUCUUUCUUUCUCUCUCUUUUUUUUUUUUUUUGGUUGUUGUUGCUUGACUUCAAUAAAAAUGUCUUCAUAGAAGAUUACUCAUUAGUUGUCAAAAACACUUACCAAUUUCCGAGAUCUUUCCAAUAGCUUAUUCCAUAUUGUAAAAUGUGCCUUAAAAAGAACAGAUUUACUAUGAAUUAAACAAAGCAAUACAGUUAAAAUAAAAAGGACUGAGUCUUCACAUAGCAUUUAAACAAAACUAGUAAAUAAAGAGCUAGGCAGUACUUACAUGGCUAAGUGGUUACAAAAGUGGAUCCGAGUAAGAAAAAAGGCACACUAUACAUACACAGUUUGUUUAUCCAUUCAUCUGUUGACGGGCAUCUAGGUUGUUUCCAUCUUAAGAAAAAGGCACUAUAUAAAAUAGCUGCUUUGUUUGACUUAAGAACUGAAUAUGCCAUUCUUCCUCUUUUGUUCCUUUUAAUCAUUUCCGUCACAGAAAGCAUUCCAUCUAACGGGAAGCAAAAAGAAACCUGCCCCACUUUCCCACUGACUGUAGGUCUUUCCUUGAACAGCCAAUUUCAAAAUGCUAGAGGUCAUUCUUCAAAUUAUGAGCAAUCACAAGGAGAAAGUCAUUAACAACUGUGACAUCUCCCCACUGACAUGGCAGACCCAGAAGAUCUUGCAAAUUACACUACAGAAAAAGUAAAGCCUAGCGAAGACAGUAGUAAAGCCACAGAACCAAUUUUAUUAAUCCUUAAUCUUAUGGAGCAGAGGAUUAUCGGAAUCCAUUAAUGACAGCUCUGCAAAGAGCAUAAUGACCACAGCGAUUCUGUUUACGCCAGCUGAAGGUGACAGCAAGGCAUAUGGGUGGGCCAGUGACUAUUUAGACACCAAAUGAGCUGGUAAUAUCUAUAAUAAAUGGUAAGAUGUCUAAGUAUCUAUACACAAACCCUCCAGAGAAGGAGCAGUAUGGUAUGUUUAAAGGGAAAAUCAUCCUUGACUUAGGCACAAUAAACAGAUGCUACAGAAACUCUGAGGUGGGAAUCAGUUUGCCAUGUUCAAGGAAGAAAAAGUGUGGCCAGACCACAGUGGGUGAAGAAGAGAGAGGUAUGAGGUGAAGUCAGAAAAGUAGGCAGGGACAGAUAAGUAUGGCUUUGCAGGAUAGGGUAAAGGCUUAGGAUUUUAUACAUGGGAUGCUGUUACGAAGUUUGGAGCAGGGGAAUUAUGUGAUUCGAUUUGUGUAUUAAUAAGGUCAUUCUGGCUACUAAGUAGAGAAUGCGCUGUGGAGAGCAAGAAUGAAAUAAGGAGAGGGAGGGAAGAGAAAGGGGGACUUGGAUAGGAGAAGUAGUAAUAGUUGAGACAGUAGGCAGUGGAUGGAUUCAGACUAUGUUUUAGGGUUAAGAGCUGAAAGGACUGGCUGAUGGGUGGGAUGAGGGUAUGGCCAUGAGGGGAAGAGAGAAUCAAGGAUUCCCUCAAACAGCUAGACAGGUGAUGGUGCCAUCUACUGAAACGGAGAAGGCUAGGAAAGGACGUGAAUACGUGGAGAAAAAGCAAGAAUUCUGCAUUGGCCACGUUAAGCAGGAGAUAACUAUAAGCCAAACAAAUGGAGCUGUCAAGCAGACAGUAGGAUAAAGGAGUCUACAAGUUCCCAAGAGAAGUUUAGAGUAUAGAUGAUCGGUGGAACCAUGGUGAUAUGAAAUGACAUAAGAAUAUUUACGGAAUCUUUGUGAUAUGUCAACCCUUUGACACUGAAUAGAGGAGAAAGAGCCAGCCAAGAGACUGAGGAGUGCCCUGCCACUUAGGUUGAAGGAAAUCUAGGGACAAAGGUGUCAUGGAAGCAUCUAAAAGAAUGUGUUUCAAGGACGAAGGAAUGGCUAAUUAGUAGUAGGAAGUCAAAGAAAAGCAGAGAAAAUGGCUGUUGCAUUUGAUAAUACAGAGGUCACUGGAGACCUUGACAAGAUAGUUCCAGAGCAAUGGCAUGAGUAGAAGACUGACUGGAGUGGAUCGAAGACAGAAUGAAAAGUGAAGUAGAGAUAACAACUACAGAUACAGAUACCUACAGGUAGAAAGCAGGAAAAUGGGGCAGGCCCUACAAAGGAGAUAUAAGGUCAAGGACAAGGUUUUUUAGAUGAGAUAUUUAAAAUGCUAAUGGAAUAAUUUCAAAGAGGAAAACAGUACAGAAAAAAAUUAAAGGGAGCGUAACUAUAGAAGUGGCGUCCCAGAGAAGGUAAGAGGGCAUGAAAUCUGGGACACCGAUACCAGUAUAAGGGUUGGACUUUUAUAAAGGCAGAGACAGGUCAUCAACUAUCCUACAAAAGAAGGUAGAGAGCAUAGAUGCAUAUGCAGGCAGGUGGGGAACACCUGGUGGUGGGAAGAUGGAAUUCCUGUUUAAUGACUUCUAUUUUUCCAAUGAAGUCUAAGACAAGAUUAUCAACUGAGAGUGAAGUGGGGAACAAGGUUUAGAGGAGUCACCGGAAAAGGGGUUGCUAUGUCAGGAGUGGAAAUCGAACCAAUGACUCCAGGGGAGACAGUGACCUGAAUGCAGCACCUUAGACUGCUCAGCCAUUCUGAUGGGAGAGAGGAGGGAGCCCUAGUGACCCAAGGGUUAAGCACUCAGCUGCAAAUUGAAAGGUCAGCAGUUUAAAUCCACCAGCCACUCUGUGAGAGAAAAGACCUGGCAAUCUGCUCCCAUAAAGAUGACAGCCUAGGAAACCCUAUGGGGAAGUUCAGCUCUGUCUUAUAGGGUUACUAUGAGUAAGAAUCAUCACAAGGACAUACAACGACAACAAAAGGAAGAAAGGAGAAGAUAUGACACAGUCUUUUUGAGGGUGGAAAAGCAAACACACUUGUAAAGCAUAGGAGGAUUUCAACCCUCACCAGGCUGGAACAGGGCACCCUGUUCCUCCUGCUGGGGUAAUGUCAGAGAAGGCCAAGAAGGGAGACAGGACAUUCAUCCCUGCCAAAUGGUAACAAGUCUGUCCUUCCCACCAAUCCCCACAGUGUGAGUAAAGAUCACGUGGGGUGACUGCACUAGACUCCUCCUCCUCCACCUAGAAGAAAAGCGCUGCUGUGUUGGUGUCAGCGGAGACCUUGUGAAGAGUAAGGACUUUCACUCCCACCCAACAAAACUAGGCCAUCCCCUCCCUCAUGGUGUCAGUGGAGGCCUGGUGGGGAGCCAGAACUCCUACUAACCACCCUCCCUCUUUCGGGUGUCAACAAGGGCCAAGUGGGGAGCCUAGACUCCUACCCACAUCUGACAGUAAUGAGGUGCCCCCUACCACCAACUGCUCCUGCUGGAAUAGGAAGUCAGCUGAAAUAGAAGGUUUAAAGAAGAUUCAGAGUCUUAUAAUACACAAAAUAUCUAAAGAACAAUAAAAAAUUACUUAAUGUAAAAAGAAUCAGGAAAAUCUCAACUUGGAAUGAAAAAAGACAAUCAGUAGAUGCCAACACAGAGAUUACAGAGAUGUUAAAAUUAUCUGUCAGAUUUUAAAGCAGCCAUUAUAAAAAUCCUUCAGUGAGUAGCUGUGAACAUGCUUUACAUAAUGAAAAACUAGAAAGCUUCAGCAAAGAAAUGUAAGACUCCACAAAGAAAUAGCUGAUAAAAAGAAGCAGCAAAUGGAAAUUCUGGGAUUGAAAAACACAGUAACCAAAAUUUAUAAUUCAAUGGGUAGUCUCAACAUCAGAAUAGGGGGGAAAGAGGAAAGAAUUAGUAAACUUGAAGACAGAACAAUAGAAAUUACACAAUCUGAACAACAGAGAGAAAACAGACUGAAAAAUAAAUGAACAGGGCCUCAGAAACCUAUGAGAGUAAAACAAAAAAAUCAUCAGAGCCUAGAAAAAGAGGCAAAGAGAGCAGGGCUGAAAAACUACUCAAAGAAAUAAUAACAGAAAACUUCUGAAGCUGACCAAAGACAAAAACCUACAAAGCCAAGAGGCGACCCCCAAACAGGAUAAAUUUAAAGAAAUCCACACCAAAAACACUCAAAAUUAAAGUCAAAAUUCCGAAAACCAAAGACAAAAGAAAAAAUCUUGAAAGCAGCAAGAAAGAAUUGACACCUUACCUACAAAAGAAAAACAAUUCAAAUGACAACUGACAGGCAGAGGGAAGUAGCACAUUCUUCAAGCGAUGAAUGAACUGUCCAACCAGAAAAUAUCCAAAUAGCAAAAAUAUCCCUCAGGAACAAAGAGGAAAUCAAGACAUUCUCAGAUGAAGAAAAACUAAGAGAAUAUGACCCCAGCAGACCUACCACAGAAGAACUGCUAACGUUCCCUAAACAGAAAAGAAAUGAAACAAGAAGGACUCUUAGAACGUCAAAAAGGAAAAACAAAAUGUUUUGUUACCUACACAUUUACCACAAUUAAAAAAAAAAAGGAACAAAAACUGUAAAAAUAGGGAUAAAUCAUUUCCUUCUCAUCUUGAGUUUUAGAAAUUAUGUUUGACAGCUGAAGUAAAGAUUAUAACACUGUCUAAUGUAGUUCUAAAUGUAUGGAGGGGAAAUAUUUAAGACAAUUUUAUUAAAAACAAGAGAGUGUACAGGGACAUAAAGUGACACAAGGUUUCUACACUUCAUUUAAACUGGUAAAGCGUUGACAUCAGUAGACUGUGAUAAGUUAUGUGUAUAUACCUGGAGCAAUCACACACACAAAAAAAAUGAAUACAAAGAGAUACACCCAAAAACACUAUAAAUAAAUCAAAAUGGAAUUCUAAAAAAUGUUCAAGUAACCUACAGGAAGGCAGGAAAAAGAAAACAAACAAAAAGAGAGAGAAAACAAACAGAAAGCAAAAAAAUAAAAUGGCAGUCUUAAAUUCUAACAUCAACAAUUACAUUAAAUGUAAAUGGUCUAAGUACAUCAAUUAAAAGAGAUUGGCAAAGUCAGUUAAAAAGCAUGACACAAUUACAUGACAUUUAAAAGAAAUUCACUUCAAAUAUGAUAUAGGUAGGUUGAAAAUAAAACGAUGGAAAAAGAUAAAUCAAGCAAAUAUUAACAAAAGAAAACGGCAGUUUUUUUAUCAGAUAAAGUAUACUUCAAAGCAACGAAAAUCACUAGAAACAGUGUCAUAAUGACAAAAGGGUCAAUCCACCAAGAAAACAUAGCAAUCCUAAAUGUAUAUGCAACAAGCAACAGAGUUAUAAAAUUUGUAAAGCAAAAACUAAGAAGAGAAAUAGAUAAAUCCACAAUUGUACUUGGAGACUUCACACCCUCUCUCAAUAACUGGUGAAACAAUUAGAAAGCCUAGAAAGGGCACAGAACUCAACAGCACCACCAACCAACAUAAUGAAAUUGACAUUAGUAGAAUAUUCGACCCAAGAACAGAAGAAUACACACUCUUUUCAAGCACCCAGAGAAUAUAAACAAGAUAGAUCAUAUUCCAAAUCAUAAAAUAAACCUUAACAAAUUUAAAAGAACUGAAUUCAUACAAUGUGAGCCCUGUUGGUACACUGGUGCUAGGCUGUUAACCAAAAGGUAGUUAGUUCGAACCAACCAGCUGCUCUGCAGGAGAAAGAUGUGGCAGUCUGCUUCUGUUAAGAUUUAUAGCCUUGGAAACACCAUGGGGCAAGUUAUACUCUGUCCUACAGGGUCACUAUGUGUCAGAAUCGACUCAAUGGCAGUGGUUUUGGUUGUUUUGUUUUGUUUUUUUUAAAUAUCUCUGACCACAAAAGAAUCAAACUAGAAUAACAGAAAGAGAAAAGGAAAAUCUUCAAACAUUUGGAAAGUAAAUAACACACUUCUUAAUAAUCUAUGGAGCAAAGGCAGUCUCAAAAGAAAAAAAUAGAUCAAAUUGAACAAAAAUGAAAACGUGACAUCGAAAUUUGUGGAACAGCUAAAGCAGCAUCGAAAGGGAGAUUUACAACACUAAAUCAGAAAUAAGGGAAGUCUCAAAUCAAUAAGCUCCCAACUCAGGGACCUAAAAAAGAGCAAACUAAACCUACAGCGAGCAGAAGAAGGGAAAUAAUGAUGAUAAAACCAAUAAAACUGAAACAAAAAAAAAAAAGGGAGAGAAUCAAUAAAGCCAAAAGCUGGUUCUUUGAAAGUAUUAAUAAAAUUGACAAACCUCUAGGCAAGACUGAAAAAAAAAAACAGAAAA